GGGUGAGGAAUACAUCGGAAUCUACUUUUUCGUGGGGGAUAACGUAGGGAAACUUACGCUAAUACCGCAUACGACCUACGGGUGAAAGCAGGGGAUCUUCGGACCUUGCGCGAUUGAAUGAGCCGAUGUCGGAUUAGCUAGUUGGCGGGGUAAAGGCCCACCAAGGCGACGAUCCGUAGCUGGUCUGAGAGGAUGAUCAGCCACACUGGAACUGAGACACGGUCCAGACUCCUACGGGAGGCAGCAGUGGGGAAUAUUGGACAAUGGGCGCAAGCCUGAUCCAGCCAUACCGCGUGGGUGAAGAAGGCCUUCGGGUUGUAAAGCCCUUUUGUUGGGAAAGAAAUCCAGCCGGCUAAUACCUGGUUGGGAUGACGGUACCCAAAGAAUAAGCACCGGCUAACUUCGUGCCAGCAGCCGCGGUAAUACGAAGGGUGCAAGCGUUACUCGGAAUUACUGGGCGUAAAGCGUGCGUAGGUGGUUGUUUAAGUCUGUUGUGAAAGCCCUGGGCUCAACCUGGGAACUGCAGUGGAAACUGGACAACUAGAGUGUGGUAGAGGGUAGCGGAAUUCCCGGUGUAGCAGUGAAAUGCGUAGAGAUCGGGAGGAACAUCCAUGGCGAAGGCAGCUACCUGGACCAACACUGACAC
rnacentral:rRNA from 1 species